AAUAGAAUGCCUGAAAAAAGGGUUAUCUUGAUAGGAUAAAUCAUACUGGCCACCCAGUUUCUAUUA
rnacentral:tRNA from 1 species